AAACAGAGAGCUCAACACACAGGGUGAAAAGAGGAGCUGCGGCAAUGGGCAGUACAAGAAAAAUAUGGUGUUUUUCAAAACUUAAACAUUUAAACCUAUACUGGUACAACCGCUAAAUACAAUUAGGAACCUGAAAAUGAGCAUAAUAUGAGCUCUUUAAGCAAGCCAUGAAAUUCAA